UACGAAGGGGGCUAGCGUUGUUCGGAAUUACUGGGCGUAAAGCGCACGUAGGCGGAUAUUUAAGUCAGGGGUGAAAUCCCAGAGCUCAACUCUGGAACUGCCUUUGAUACUGGGUAUCUUGAGUAUGGAAGAGGUAAGUGGAAUUCCGAGUGUAGAGGUGAAAUUCGUAGAUAUUCGGAGGAACACCAGUGGCUAAGGCGGCUUACUGGUCCAUUACUGACGCUGAGGCGCGAGAGCGUGGGGAGCAAACGGG
rnacentral:rRNA from 1 species